CCUACGGGGGGCAGCAGUGGGGAAUAUUGGACAAUGGGCGAAAGCCUGAUCCAGCCAUACCGCGUGUGUGAAGAAGGCCUUCGGGUUGUAAAGCACUUUCAGUGGGGAAGAAAGCCUUGGGGCUAAUACCCUCGAGGAAGGACAUCACCCACAGAAGAAGCACCGGCUAACUCCGUGCCAGCAGCCGCGGUAAUACGGAGGGUGCGAGCGUUAAUCGGAAUUACUGGGCGUAAAGCGCGCGUAGGCGGUCUGAUAAGCCGGUUGUGAAAGCCCCGGGCUCAACCUGGGAACGGCAUCCGGAACUGUCAGGCUAGAGUGCAGGAGAGGAAGGUAGAAUUCCCGGUGUAGCGGUGAAAUGCGUAGAGAUCGGGAGGAAUACCAGUGGCGAAGGCAGCCUUCUGGACUGACACUGACGCUGAGGUGCGAAAGCGUGGGUAGCAAACAGGAUUAGAUACCCUAGUAGUC
rnacentral:rRNA from 1 species